UACAGAGGGGGCAAGCGUUGUUCGGAAUUACUGGGCGUAAAGGGCGCGUAGGCGGCCUUCUAAGUCGAACGUGAAAUCCCCGGGCUCAACCCGGGAACUGCGUCCGAUACUGGAAGGCUUGAAUCCGGGAGAGGGAUGCGGAAUUCCAGGUGUAGCGGUGAAAUGCGUAGAUAUCUGGAGGAACACCGGUGGCGAAGGCGGCAUCCUGGACCGGCAUUGACGCUGACGGCGCGAAAGCCGGGGAGCAAAGCGG
rnacentral:rRNA from 1 species